GCCGAGGUGGCUCAGCUGGCGGAGCGUCGGACUCAUAAUCCGAAGGCCGUGGGUUCAAGUCCCACUCUCGGCA
rnacentral:tRNA from 1 species